rnacentral:rRNA from 1 species
CAAUCAAACCGGGAGAUAGCUGGUUCUCCCCGAAAGCUAUUUAGGUAGCGCCUCGUGAAUUCAUCUCCGGGGGUAGAGCACUGUUUCGGCUAGGGGGCCAUCCCGGCUUACCAACCCGAUGCAAACUGCGAAUACCGGAGAAUGUUAUCACGGGAGACACACGGCGGGUGCUAACGUCCGUCGUGAAGAGGGAAACAACCCAGACCGCCAGCUAAGGUCCCAAAGUCAUGGUUAAGUGGGAAACGAUGUGGGAAGGCCCAGACAGCCAGGAUGUUGGCUUAGAAGCAGCCAUCAUUUAAAGAAAGCGUAAUAGCUCACUGGUCGAGUCGGCCUGCGCGGAAGAUGUAACGGGGCUAAACCAUGCACCGAAGCUGCGGCAGCGAACGUAUCACCCAAGACAACUUUACGGAGUUGACGAUUGACGGAGCGAAGCGACGUCAAAGCGUUCAUUAAAGUCGAGUUGGCUUAGGGAUACGUUCGUUGGGUAGGGGAGCGUUCUGUAAGCCUGUGAAGGUGUGUCGUGAGGCAUGCUGGAGGUAUCAGAAGUGCGAAUGCUGACAUAAGUAACGAUAAAGCGGGUGAAAAGCCCGCUCGCCGGAAGACCAAGGGUUCCUGUCCAACGUUAAUCGGGGCAGGGUGAGUCGACCCCUAAGGCGAGGCCGAAAGGCGUAGUCGAUGGGAAACGGGUUAAUAUUCCCGUACUUGGUGUUACUGCGAAGGGGGGACGGAGAAGGCUAUGUUGGCCGGGCGACGGUUGUCCCGGUUUAAGCGUGUAGGUGUGUGUUCCAGGUAAAUCCGGUUCACUUUAACACUGAGGCGUGACGACGAGGCACUACGGUGCUGAAGCAACAAAUGCCCUGCUUCCAGGAAAAGCCUCUAAGCAUCAGGUAACAUCAAAUCGUACCCCAAACCGACACAGGUGGUCAGGUAGAGAAUACCAAGGCGCUUGAGAGAACUCGGGUGAAGGAACUAGGCAAAAUGGUGCCGUAACUUCGGGAGAAGGCACGCUGACACGUAGGUGAAGUGAUUUACUCAUGGAGCUGAAGUCAGUCGAAGAUACCAGCUGGCUGCAACUGUUUAUUAAAAACACAGCACUGUGCAAACACGAAAGUGGACGUAUACGGUGUGACGCCUGCCCGGUGCCGGAAGGUUAAUUGAUGGGGUCAGCGCAAGCGAAGCUCCUGAUCGAAGCCCCGGUAAACGGCGGCCGUAACUAUAACGGUCCUAAGGUAGCGAAAUUCCUUGUCGGGUAAGUUCCGACCUGCACGAAUGGCGUAAUGAUGGCCAGGCUGUCUCCACCCGAGACUCAGUGAAAUUGAACUCGCUGUGAAGAUGCAGUGUACCCGCGGCAAGACGGAAAGACCCCGUGAACCUUUACUAUAGCUUGACACUGAACAUUGAGCCUUGAUGUGUAGGAUAGGUGGGAGGCUUUGAAGUGUGGACGCCAGUCUGCAUGGAGCCGACCUUGAAAUACCACCCUUUAAUGUUUGAUGUUCUAACGUGGACCCGUAAUCCGGGUUGCGGACAGUGUCUGGUGGGUAGUUUGACUGGGGCGGUCUCCUCCUAAAGAGUAACGGAGGAGCACGAAGGUUGGCUAAUCCUGGUCGGACAUCAGGAGGUUAGUGCAAUGGCAUAAGCCAGCUUGACUGCGAGCGUGACGGCGCGAGCAGGUGCGAAAGCAGGUCAUAGUGAUCCGGUGGUUCUGAAUGGAAGGGCCAUCGCUCAACGGAUAAAAGGUACUCCGGGGAUAACAGGCUGAUACCGCCCAAGAGUUCAUAUCGACGGCGGUGUUUGGCACCUCGAUGUCGGCUCAUCACAUCCUGGGGCUGAAGUAGGUCCC